GUGAGCACUCUAGACGAACUGCCGUUGACAAAACGGAGGAAGUGGGGAUGACGUCAAAUCAUCAUGCCCCUUAUGUUCUGGGCUACACACGUGCUACAAUGGCCGGUACAGACGGAGGCGAAGCCGCGAGGCGGAGCAAAUCCGAAAAAGCCGGUCUCAGUUCGGAUUGCAGGCUGCAAUUCGCCUGCAUGAAGUCGGAAUCGCUAGUAAUCGCAGGUCAGCAUACUGCGGUGAAUACGUUCCCGGGCCUU
rnacentral:rRNA from 1 species